CCCCUCUCAGGAUGGCACCUGGAGAGUUUCCAGAACUCUACCAGUCUUGGCUACAGAAGGAAGAGUCAAGCAGAGGCAAAUCCAUUCCAUUCCUAGCUUGGUCAACGGCUAGCACAUAGAAGGCAAUCUGCUACAAGU